AGUAACUGAGGACGGAACGGGCAGCCGUCACCCCUUGCAAAAAGGUUAGGAGAUGUGGGAAAUGUCACCCCACCUUUACU
rnacentral:ncRNA from 12 species